UUGCGUUUUCCAUUUUACAAACAGUAGAGUGUGGGUUAUCGUUGUGUGAAGAACGGAAAACACUCAUGGCGCAUUGGUGGAAAACUGGAGGAUCUGCGAUCAAUAUUUUCACAUACACUUGGUCUCAACUUCUCUGGAUGCAGAUUUCGAAAUUGAAAGUAAGUCUUCUCUGCUCUAUCGCGAACAAACUCCUCGAAUAGGACUGUAGGAGAUUUCUUGUGGCCUAUAAUUGAUGGAAAGAAAAUCGAUCGCAAUCAUCUUAUUUAUCAAGCCGUUGGAAACAAGUGCACGAUCCUUAUCGGACUUAUUUCUCUGUUAUUUUCUCUGAUGCAAUCGGAUUGAGAUCGAGUUUACCUCAUCUGUAAAACGGCGGAAAAACGGAAAGCAACAUUCAUUUGAUAUUUCAACUUAAAGGAAAAAACGAACUGAAAGUUAGACUCCGGCAUGACUGUCCAGAGAGCAAAUGGUGAAGAAUUAACAGGAAGAAGUAGCUGGCUUUGUAUGAGGCAAUGAGCACGAAUACAAGGGAAGAAAAUAGAUGCUGCAAAUGAUGAAGCUGAAACGGAGUUGUUGCAAUAAUGGUCGCAAAUUAAACAACAGUGAAGGUAAGAGCACUACGACAAUUUUCAACAAAAACACACAAUCAUUGAAAUAGAAUUAUAAAGCAUGCAAGGAUGAACAUGCACUAAAAGUUCAACGCUAAGUUAGAACUUAGAAGUUGACAUUUUUAUUUAAAAUAUUUGGUUGUCGUAUAAAGUUUAUUUUCAAGGAUAAAAUUCAAGUUUAAA